UCCAGCAGCCAUAUCACUCUGCAACUCACAACUGGCAACCCACUGAAGCUACUGUAAGCAGGUGUGAGCCUGAUCAGUACCUGGAUGGGAGACCUUCUGGGAAAAACUAAGGUUGCUGCUGGAA
rfam:Lepisosteus oculatus linkage group LG17, whole genome shotgun sequence.